rnacentral:rRNA from 1 species
UACGAAGGGGGCUAGCGUUGUUCGGAAUCACUGGGCGUAAAGCGCAUGCAGGCGGAUUGUUAAGUCGGGGGUGAAACCCCGAGGCUCAACCUCGGAACUGCCUUCGAUACUGGCAAUCUUGAGUCCGGGAGAGGUGAGUGGAACUGCGAGUGUAGAGGUGAAAUUCGUAGAUAUUCGCAAGAACACCAGUGGCGAAGGCGGCUCACUGGCCCGGUACUGACGCUGAGGUGCGAAAGCGUGGGGAGCAAACAGG